UCCUCCGUGGCGCAAUUGGCUAGCGCGUCUGACUGUUAAGAAGCAAUCAGGAGGUUCGUGGUAUGUAAUUACACAUCUUAAUAUUAAAUUGUGUCGCUAACCCAUCGGUUAGGUUCGAGCCCACGCGGGGGAG